CCAGCCUGCCCAGUGACAAAAUUCAACGGCCACGGUAUCCUAACCGUGCAAAGGUAGCAUAAUCACUUGUUCUUUAAAUAAGGACUAGUAUCAACGGCAUCACGAGAGUCACACUGUCUCCUUUCCCCAAUCAGUGAAACUGAUCUCCCCGUGAAGAAGCGGGGAUAAAACUAUAAGACGAGAAGACCCCAUGGAGCUUUAAACCCUAAGCAACCCAAUCCAAUACUCCCAUUACAAACGCAAAGCCUUGCUCAACGGUUUUAGGUUGGGGUGACCACGGAGUAAAAACCAACCUCCAAGACGAAAAGGACUAAACCUUUAUCCAAGAGAUACCCCUCUAAGAAUUAGAAUACUAACGUAUAAUGACCCAACAAUGAUCAACGAACCAAGUUACCCUGGGGAUAACAGCGCAAUCUACUUCAAGAGCCCAUAUCGACAAGUAGGCUUACGACCUCGAUGUUGGAUCAGGAUAUCCCAGUGGUGCAGUCACUACUGACGGUU
rnacentral:rRNA from 1 species